AUUAAUCAUCCCCUUCCUUAUCCGACCCCUCCCCUGCCCCUCUCCCUCUCUCUUUGAUAACGCCCAAAUCACUCCGAUCUCUCCCCUUCCCCUCUCCCUCUAUCUUUGAUAAACGCCCAAAACCCUUUAUUACCUUCUUUAUCUGUGCUUUCCCCUGCCCCUCGACGUUCGGACUCCUCGUCAGUUUCCCUCUACCUCUCACCUGCUCUCCCCUUCCGUUUUGUGCUUCUAUAAAUACCUUCUGCUUCAAUUUUGAUGGAACAACGAAUCGUUUUUUUUCCAAUUGUGUCAGAGUUUUAUUGGCGGAAUAGAAAGUUCUCAAGGUUGGACCACAGGGGCAGAUUCGUGGCAGUGCCUUGAUGAUGGACAAAACUCUGUCUAUUUGUGAGAUUUAUGUUUCCUUGAGCAGACAAGUUCUUUAUGUUUUGGAGCUGCAUCAGUAAUACCAUCUAUAUGCUGCACAUAUGCAUUGCACAAGAGAUCAAUCAUUACCCUUUUUUUAUGCCAAACCUGAACAACAUUGAUGACAACACCAAAGGUAAGAACAUGUUGAGACAAUAUGCAGUAUAUUCCUUCUUGCUACUGUGUCAUUUGAUUUUGUAUGUAUAAAAAAACAUAUACUCUUAUUUGUUGUGCAUUUGUUUAUUAAACUUGAAAAGAAGAAUCCUUACUUAGAUUAACUUUUUCUUCAUGACUAGAUAUACAUUUUGAGCGUCUAUCUUACAAUUUGGCUAAGACACAUUUCAUGUUGCAGAAACUAGGAUCAUUUCCACCGAAUUAUGUUAAUGCAUAUCCGACACUCAUCAGUUUUAUCGGUAUAAUAAUUUGUGGGAUAAUUGUUACAUAUAAGAAAGAAACCGUAGUGGACAAACUAUGAAAGGCGUUGCCAAUGAAUUUUUUUGAAGCUUUAAUUGGAUUUACAAUUAAAUAUGGUCGAAGAAAGUCAAACAUUGAAUUUAGCUAUACAGCUUUAUGAGGAGGAAUCACAAGGUAAAAUCAACGCUAAAUUUUAGUCUCGUGAGUAAAAUAUAUCAUAACCUAUCAAUUUUUUGUUAUUCUGCUAUUUUCUUAUAUAUGUCUUCUGUUCAAUUUUUUUAAAUCAAUGAAAGUUGUAAUUUGUUAUCACAUGAAUCUAACCAGAAGAAUGCAAGGGUCUUCUUAGCAAGUUAUUAAGCUGGAACAUUUAAGAUAUAUUUCUGUAGGAAUAUGCACAUUCAUACAAUGAUUCUUCAGGUUAAUGUGUAAAUCCAUAUGUCUGGGUACAAUGCAGUUUGUAACCCCAUUUUCACACCAUUAAUGCAAUUAUUUGAAACUGUUGGAUACUUUGCUUGAAGAAGACAUGCUUCAGUUGUUAAAAUUAUUUGGAAGAUGUGGUAUGACUUAUGAGGCUUCAAGUCUUAGUCUUGCUAGCAGUUUGGUCAUAGGCUACCUGAAGUGAAAUUGGUGUCUGUUUAUGAAUUUUUUCCGUUCUUUAUUUCAUUGUGGCAUUGUUCAAGAUAUCUAUUUGCAAGUAAGGAUAUGGUCUUGUUGCUUUAAUAAACACUAUGAAAAUGCUACUUUCAUUUACAAAUUAAUUUUUCAAACUUGCAUUUCUCCUUCCUUUUCAAGUGCAGGUCCUUUUUAGCUUCGUGGAUUUUUACAGUUCAUUGUGAACUUUCACUUUUACUCAAUUUUAUUGCAGUGAAUUAUGGCUUAGUUCGAAGGUUUUGUUGAUGGCAAAUGAAUCUACUGUUAAAUGUUUAUUCCCAAGUGGUUCUUACAGGUUGAUGUUUUCCUCCAAUAGCAAUUCAUUAUAUUUUAAAUUAGAAGAAAAAUGUAAGAGAUGGAUUGAGGGUUGUAAUCUUCUCUGAUGAUGUUUUUUGUAACUCAAGUUUUUGUGCUGAGUUUGUGAUGUAACCCAAAUGUAUCAACGAUCUCAUGCCAUUCAUUUUUCAUAUCAACUUCUACAUUAAUCAA